GACGAACGCUGGCGGCGUGCCUAAUACAUGCAAGUCGAGCGCAGGAAAUCGACGGAACCCUUCGGGGGGAAGUCGACGGAAUGAGCGGCGGACGGGUGAGUAACACGUAAAGAACCUGCCCUCAGGUCUGGGAUAACCACGAGAAAGCGGGGCUAAUACCGGAUGGGUCAUCGGACCGCAUGGUCCGAGGAUGAAAGGCGCUUCGGCGUCGCCUGGGGAUGGCUUUGCGGUGCAUUAGCUAGUUGGUGGGGUAAUGGCCCACCAAGGCGACGAUACAUAGCCGACCUGAGAGGGUGAUGGGCCACACUGGGACUGAGACACGGCCCAGACUCCUACGGGAGGCAGCAGUAGGGAAUCUUCCACAAUGGACGAAAGUCUGAUGGAGCAACGCCGCGUGAACGAUGAAGGCCUUCGGGUCGUAAAGUUCUGUUGUAAGGGAAGAACAAGUGCCGCAGGCAAUGGCGGCACCUUGACGGUACCUUGCGAGAAAGCCACGGCUAACUACGUGCCAGCCGCCGCAGUAA
rnacentral:rRNA from 1 species